UUUAGAACGCACCCUACAAUCCACAUUUGUUUCCAAAACAAAAUUGAAAAGCUCUCCCUUCGAAGCUCCCUCGAAAGCUUCCAUUCUAUGGUCUGGCUGUCAAUUCUGUCUAAAUUCUGUCAAUCUGUUAUUUAACAGUCAACCGAACUUUUAGAACGCACCCUACAAUCCAAAAAACAAAAUUGAAAGAGCUUUCUUUUAAAAGCUCCCUCCCCCUUCCAAGACAAAAAUUUUCCAAUUGUACCCAAUUUUACACUUCACACCUUUUAUAAUUCACAGAUUUUUUUUCGAGCCCGGACGAAUCAGAGUCAGAAUUGACGCUCCACCUGAUAGGGGUCUGUUGGGCAGUUAGAUAAAUCUCAUCUGUUUAGGGAAAUGAAAUUACGUUGAUUAUAUCUGUUAUGAGUAUGUUAGAAAGUAACAGACGGGUAGAAAAUGUCCGGAGAUUAGUAAAUUUGGUAUUAAUGAGUAUUGGUAAAAUUAAAUGGUGAGAUUUAGAUAAUUGCGAUCCCAUUUUUCUCCAAAUCUGCAUAACUGAAGACUACUUGUUCAAAUCUCAGGCUGAAAAGAAUAUUUUUUUUUAAUUUGACUUUUUUUAUAUUUUUUAUUUUUUUCUUUAUGCUGUCAAUUUUUGCAAUGUUUUUUUGUUUUUCAAUUUAAGCCAAAAUUUAUGAAUAUGGUGUGAUGAUAUGGAAAAGUUUAAAAAUGUGUAUGAGAAGCAAAAAACGUUAAAUAUGAAAUUUUCGUGUUUCUGCCUGGGGUGAAGUCGUUAAAAAUUCAUUUCUUAGCCAAUUUUCAACCGAUUUUCUUGAAAAAUUUCAAGUACAUGCCUAAAAUCAAAUUGGAAAGGAUAAUAAUUGAAAAUUGACGACGCAAGAAUGAUUGCAAUGAGAGCACCGUGAAAUA